rnacentral:rRNA from 1 species
CGUGAGAUGUUGGGUUAAGGUCCCGCAACGAGCGCAACCCUUACCCUUAGUUGCCAGCGGGUAAUGCCGGGCACUCUAAGGGGACCGCCCCGGGAUAACGGGGAGGAAGGCGGGGAUGACGUCAAGUCAGCAUGGCCUUUAUGUCCAGGGCUACACACGUGCUACAAUGGCGAUACAGAGGGAAGCAAGGCCGCAAGGUAGAGCUAAUCCCUAAAGUCGUCCUCAGUUCGGAUUGCAGGCUGCAACUCGCCUGCAUGAAGUCGGAAUCGCUAGUAAUCGCGGAUCAGCUACGCCGCGGUGAAUACGUUCUCGGGCCUU